ACUUGAAUAGCUUAUUUUUGUUUAGAGCGCGACGCUGAAGAUGUCGAUGAGGUAUUUAUUGCCUUUAAGUG
rnacentral:tRNA from 1 species